UGGGGAAUAUUGCGCAAUGGGGGCAACCCUGACGCAGCCAUGCCGCGUGAAUGAAGAAGGCCUUCGGGUUGUAAAGUUCUUUCGGUGAUGAGGAAGGCGGUUAGUUUAAUAGGCUAAUUGAUUGACGUUAAUCACAGAAGAAGCACCGGCUAACUCCGUGCCAGCAGCCGCGGUAAUACGGAGGGUGCGAGCGUUAAUCGGAAUAACUGGGCGUAAAGGGCACGCAGGCGGUUGCUUAAGUGAGGUGUGAAAUCCCCGGGCUUAACCUGGGAAUUGCAUUUCAGACUGGGCAGCUAGAGUAUUUUAGGGAGGGGUAGAAUUCCACGUGUAGCGGUGAAAUGCGUAGAGAUGUGGAGGAAUACCGAAGGCGAAGGCAGCCCCUUGGGGAAAUACUGACGCUCAUGUGCGAAAGCGUGGGGAGCAAACAGG
rnacentral:rRNA from 1 species